UCUUUUUAUCUCCCCAUUAAGGGAUACUUUUAUUAUCGCCCACAAGUCUCUCUCUUUACCUUCACACCUUUGAUUUGCGUAUUGUUUAAGUUUCUUUGAAACAUCCAAGUCUUGGCCUUCUUGGAAGCUUCAUUUACAGUUCAAUAUCAGGGAAAUAUAACAACUUGAAUCUCUUUCCCAUUUUUAAAUUGAUUUUUUUUUCGUGAGGUAAGAACCGAUCUUGGUUUUCAUUUAACUUCAGUUUUGAUUUGACUUUAGAAUUUUUCAUUCUUGAGUUUAUUAUUGAUAAUACUGAAUCAUGGGUUUUGCUUGUCUUAGAGUUUUGAUUGCUUGUGAAAGCGGGUCUGGUAAAUUUAGAGCUCCUAAUUGAAGUGUUUUAAAAUAGGAAGUUUGAUACUUGGUUGUUUUGGUAGAUUUGGAUUUGAUGGAGUAGUUAAUGAUCACGAGAAAGAAAAAAAACUGAAUUUUUUUUUCUGGAAUUUUGCGAUACAUUCUUGGUGUAUAUGGUCAUUUAGAAGUGGUAAAUGAGAUUACUUUUCAGCAAUAUUUUGUGAGAUAUGUUCUGUUUGGAACUUGAUUUGGUUAAAUUAUGAAAUCUUGGAAGGUGAUUUGAUAGGUGACAGUCAUGGGGUUUGUGAUGCUGAAUCUAUUAAUGAUUUCUUAAAAAAUAAUGGAAUUUGAAUUUGGGGUUGAGACAGUGAUCUGGGUAGAAAAAAUUAUGGUGUGAGUUGUUUUGAUUAUUUGAUUGGAUGAAAUCAUUGAUUUGGAGUUAGUCUCGAGAGUUACUUGUGGUUACCAUUUAGAUUUUCUUAUUGUUGAGUUUAGAGUGUGCUUUAAAAAUGGAUGAUACUGAGGAUGAUGCAAGGUACCCACCAAAUCCUUAUGGGAAGAACAACCAGCAGAGUUAUGGUUCUAAUCGUCACAAACUUCUUGUGGGCAAUGCUAUGUAUCUUAGGGAAGUUGAUGAUCAAUAUUCCAUUGAUGAAGAUGAGGACGCUGAAGAAGAAGAAGAAGAAGAAGAAGAAGAAGAAGAAGAUGAACAUGAAUUAGGAGUGGAAGAUGGGGAGAAUAAUCAGAAAAAUGGCAUCCGUUAUGCGGGAAAAGAUGUGGACGAGGAGGAGGAGGAGGGUGUUGAUGAUGAAGAG
rnacentral:lncRNA from 1 species